ACGGGAGGCAGCAGUGGGGAAUCUUCCGCAAUGGGCGAAAGCCUGACGGAGCAACGCCGCGUGAGUGAAGAAGGUCUUCGGAUCGUAAAGCUCUGUUGAGAGGGACGAGAGAUUACUUCAGGAAAUGGGAGUAAGAGGACGGUACCUUUCGAGGAAGCCACGGCUAACUACGUGCCAGCAGCCGCGGUAAUACGUAGGUGGCGAGCGUUGUCCGGAAUUAUUGGGCGUAAAGGGAGCGCAGGUGGGACUUCAAGUCAGUCUUAAAAGUGCGGGGCUCAACCCCGUGAUGGGAUUGAAACUGUAGUUCUUGAGUGCAGGAGAGGAAAGCGGAAUUCCUAGUGUAGCGGUGAAAUGCGUAGAUAUUAGGAGGAACACCAGUGGCGAAGGCGGCUUUCUGGACUGUAACUGACACUGAGGCUCGAAAGCGUGGGGAGCGAACAGGAUUAGAUACCCUGGUA
rnacentral:rRNA from 1 species